rnacentral:rRNA from 1 species
UCGCCUACGGGAGGCAGCAGUGAGGAAUAUUGGUCAAUGGCCGAGAGGCUGAACCAGCCAAGUCGCGUGAGGGAAGACGGCCCUACGGGUUGUAAACCUCUUUUGUCGGGGAGCAAAGCGAACCACGUGUGGUUCAUUGAGAGUACCCGAAGAAAAAGCAUCGGCUAACUCCGUGCGAGCAGCCGCGGUAAUACGGAGGAUGCGAGCGUUAUCCGGAUUUAUUGGGUUUAAAGGGUGCGCAGGCGGAGGUGCAAGUCAGCGGUCAAAUUGCGGGGCUCAACCCUGUCGAGCCGUUGAAACUGGCA